UUAUUGGGCCUAAGCAUCCGUAGCCGGUUCUGCAAGUCCUCCGUUAAAUCCACCUGCUUAACAGAUGGGCUGCGGAGGAUACUACAGAGCUAGGAGGCGGGAGAGGCAANCGGUACUCAGUGGGUAGGGGUAAAAUCCUUUGAUCCAUUGAAGACCACCAGUGGCGAAGGCGGCUUGCCAGAACGCGCUCGACGGUGAGGGAUGAAAGCUGGGGGAGCAAACCGGAUUAGAUACCCCCGUAG
rnacentral:rRNA from 1 species